rnacentral:rRNA from 1 species
GACCUGCGGAGGGACAUUACACAAAUAUGAAGGCGGGCUGGAACCUCUCGGGGUUACAGCCUUGCUGAAUUAUUCACCCUUGUCUUUUGCGUACUUCUUGUUUCCUUGGUGGGUUCGCCCACCACUAGGACAAACAUAAACCUUUUGUAAUUGCAAUCAGCGUCAGUAACAAAUUAAUAAUUACAACUUUCAACAACGGAUCUCUUGGUUCUGGCAUCGAUGAAGAACGCAGCGAAAUGCGAUAAGUAGUGUGAAUUGCAGAAUUCAGUGAAUCAUCGAAUCUUUGAACGCACAUUGCGCCCUUUGGUAUUCCAAAGGGCAUGCCUGUUCGAGCGUCAUUUGUACCCUCAAGCUUUGCUUGGUGUUGGGCGUCUUGUCUCUAGCUUUGCUGGAGACUCGCCUUAAAGUAAUUGGCAGCCGGCCUACUGGUUUCGGAGCGCAGCACAAGUCGCACUCUCUAUCAGCAAAGGUCUAGCAUCCAUUAAGCCUUUUUUUCAACUUUUGACCUCGGAUCAGGUAGGGAUACCCGCUGAACUUAAGCAUAUCAAUAAGCGGAGGAAAAGAAACCAACAGGGAUUGCCCUAGUAACGGCGAGUGAAGCGGCAACAGCUCAAAUUUGAAUCUGGCUCUUUUAGAGUCCGAGUUGUAAUUUGCAGAGGGCGCUUUGGCUUUGGCAGCGGUCCAAGUUCCUUGGAACAGGACGUCACAGAGGGUGAGAAUCCCGUACGUGGUCGCUGGCUAU